CUGUUCUUUAUCUACAGGUGUGAUAUUAUCUGCAAUCAUAAUUGUUCAGUUUGUUGUGAUCAUCUAUCUUCUACUGAGAGUCAAAGGUAAAUAUCUGAAGGAGAACAAAGCGACCA
rnacentral:sRNA from 1 species